AGAGUUUGAUCAUGGCUCAGGGCGAACGCUGGCGGUGUGCCUAAGGUAUGCAAGUCGAGCGGUCGUUCGUGUCUCACUUUCGUUUGACACUCACUUCCUAAACUCAAAGCUCAAAGUUCAAAACUCAGAGCCACAACUGAAAUCUCAAAUCUGGGGGGUUUUAAGUUUUGAGUUUGAGCGGGUGGCGAGCGGUAGCGAGACACGAGCGGCAGCGGCGGACGGGUGAGUAACGCGUGGGAACGUGCCUCCGACUCGGGAAUAACCUCGCGAAAGCGAGAGUAAUACCCGAUGGUCCCCGCUCUUUCUUCGGAAAGGGCUGGGGUAAAGAUUUAUCGGUCGGAGAUCGGCCCGCGUCCUAUCAGCUUGUUGGUGGGGUAAUGGCCUACCAAGGCAAUGACGGGUAGGGGGCGCGAGAGCGCGGCCCCCCACAAUGGGACUGAGAACGGCCCAUACUCCUACGGGAGGCAGCAAUCGGGAAUCUUGCGCAAUGGACGAAAGUCUGACGCAGCGACACCGCGUGAGGGAUGAAGGCCUUCGGGUUGUAAACCUCUAUUAAAUAGCCACGGCAAACUACGUGCCAGCAGCAGCGGUCAAACGUAGGUGGCAAGCGUUGCCCGGUAUUAUUGGGCGUAAAGAGUGCGUAGGCGUUUCCUAAAGUUUCGAGUGAAAGCCCUCUGCUCAACGGAGG
rnacentral:rRNA from 1 species